rnacentral:rRNA from 1 species
GACGAACGCUGGCGGCGUGCUUAACACAUGCGAGUCGAACGGAAAGGCCCUGCUUUUGUGGGGUGCUCGAGUGGCGAACGGGUGAGUAACACGUGAGUAACCUGCCCUUGACUUUGGGAUAACUUCAGGAAACAGGGGCUAAUACCGGAUAGGAGCUCCUGCUGCAUGGUGGGGGUUGGAAAGUUUCGGCGGUUGGGGAUGGACUCGCGGCUUAUCAGCUUGUUGGUGGGGUAGUGGCUUACCAAGGCUUUGACGGGUAGCCGGCCUGAGAGGGUGACCGGCCACAUUGGGACUGAGAUACGGCCCAGACUCCUACGGGAGGCAGCAGUGGGGAAUAUUGCACAAUGGGCGGAAGCCUGAUGCAGCAACGCCGCGUGCGGGAUGACGGCCUUCGGGUUGUAAACCGCUUUCGCCUGUGACGAAGCGUGAGUGACGGUAAUGGGUAAAGAAGCACCGGCUAACUACGUG